rnacentral:rRNA from 1 species
GACGAACGCUGGCGGCGUGCUUAACACAUGCAAGUCGAGCGGUAAGGCCCUUUUGGGGGUACACGAGCGGCGAACGGGUGAGUAACACGUGGGUGACCUGCCCUCAGCUCUGGGAUAAGCCUGGGAAACUGGGUCUAAUACUGGAUAUGACCUUUCCUCGCAUGGGGUUGGGUGGAAAGUUUUUCGGCUGGGGAUGGGCCCGCGGCCUAUCAGCUUGUUGGUGGGGUGAUGGCCUACCAAGGCGACGACGGGUAGCCGGCCUGAGAGGGCGACCGGCCACACUGGACUGAGACACGGCCCAGACUCCUACGGGAGGCAGCAGUGGGAAUAUUGCGCAAUGGGCGAAGCCUGACGCAGCGACGCCGCGU